GAAUCUCUCCUUACAUGGCCAUAGAAGGGGUUUGUUUUUUUUGGUUUUGAAGUUAAUCCAGCUCCGAGCAGGGGUCUUGAUGCAAUGUCCCCUUAUUCAUAGGCAUGCGGCACUGCACCAGCUGAGAUUUUCAAUGGGAAUCUGACAAACCAAAUACUGAAAUUUGAGGCCCACUCCUGUUAAAUGCUGCUCCCUCUCUGCUCCUGCACUCCUCACCACAGAGGAUCCGGGUCCCUAAUGUCUGUUUUAACUUUCUGGCAGAGUUUGCACUAUGCACAUACAUUGGGUGGCACCAUGCCCACUUAUGCCAGUUGCCAGAGCCUAAAGCUGACAAGGGUCAAGCUUGCAAAAAACCACAGUGAGGCACAUCAGCUCCAGGAAGAUUCUCCAGAUGGUGAGGAACACAUGCCUCAUUACUGAAGGAUUGCAUUUGUUGGAUUUAUAAGAAUUAUAUAGGCAAUGAGUGCUGCUCCCCUUUAUUUAAGCUGUGUCACAGCCCUAUUCUGCACCCCAUACUCCAGCAAAACUCCCACUGAUGUCAAAUGGAGUUCACCUCUAUGUAAAACAGUGCCAGAACCAACCUUGCAACUAGGGUGACCAGACAGCAAGUGUGAAAAAUCAGGACAAGGGGUAAGGGUAAUAGGCACCUAUAUAAGAAAAAGACCCAAAAAUCAGGACUGCCCCUAUAAAAUCGGGCCAUCUGG